UUUUUUUAAUAUUUAAUUGAACAGGGAGAUCAUCGCCUCUCCUCCAGGAACGCAACUAGAGGAAAGGACUUGCCUUGCAGCAAGAGAGACCUCAGCGAGCCGGGAAGAGGCUCCUCCCCACAGAACUGGGCACCACCCAGCACUGCCCACCACACCACCGCGCCACCUCCUCACCUGCAGCUUGUGGACUUUGUCAUUGAGCUCCGCCCGGGCCCGCUCCCCAUCGCUGCACUUGGACUGCAGCUCCUGCACCUGCGCCUCCAGCUUCUUCUUCUUAUGUUCCACCUCCUGCUUGGCCUGGCCCAGGACCCGCAGCUCCCCGGCCAGACCCUGACCUGUAGUAAUUUGAGGCUGCUGAUGUCACUCUUAUGUGUCAUCACCAAAAAGCAUCACCAAAAAGCAUUACCCUCUUGAACUGCUCAAGCUGCUCUGUGAGCUCCUCCACCGCCUGUGCGUGUUUCUGCCUCAUCUCCUGGACCUGAGCCUCAUGGGACCGCGUCUCUUCAUCCAGGGCCUUCUUCAGCACCGUCACCUCCUGCUCCCUCUUGGCCCUUGGUGGGAGGAACACAGUGAAUGGCAGUUGGGUGGAGACAGAGGGUCAUCUCAGUGCCGUGCAAAAGAAUGAGAGCUCUUCCAGGACCCAGAGCUGCAGUCCUCAUCACCACCCCUCUCUAGCUGUGUGACCUUGGGUCAUUCACCUAACAUCUCUGGACCUAAAAUUUCCUCAGCUGCAAAAUGUGGAGCAUAUCACCUGCCUAGGACAUCUGUAAUGACUGGCAAACAAAUACACAAAGUAAUAGAAUUGAAAGGAUGUCUGUGAACUGCAAAAUUUUGCU
ensembl:lncRNA novel transcript, antisense to MYH11